AUUUGGUGCCUAGGGCUUUAGGCUACAGGUGAAAAGGGAACCGGGUGAGAAUCCCGGACAGACGGUGCUGCUGUGUGCCCCCAAGCGAAAUACCCGCAGUUGGCCACUGCGCGAACUCCCUUUGAUGGGGACUUACGUGGGAAGGUCAGAUGCGCAUUUAGGGUAGGGGCGAGUCAGAAGACCUGCCAAAUCUU
rnacentral:ncRNA from 1 species